rnacentral:rRNA from 1 species
ACUGAGUGGCGGACGGAUGAGUAACGCGUGGGUAACCUGCCCUGUACAGGGGGAUAACAGCUGGAAACGGCUGCUAAUACCGCAUAAGCGCACGAGGAGACAUCUCCUUGUGUGAAAAACUCCGGUGGUACAGGAUGGGCCCGCGUCUGAUUAGCUGGUUGGCAGGGUAACGGCCUACCAAGGCAACGAUCAGUAGCCGGUCUGAGAGGAUGAACGGCCACAUUGGAACUGAGACACGGUCCAAACUCCUACGGGAGGCAGCAGUGGGGAAUAUUGCACAAUGGGGGAAACCCUGAUGCAGCAACGCCGCGUGAGUGAAGAAGUAUUUCGGUAUGUAAAGCUCUAUCAGCAGGGAAGAUAAUGACGGUACCUGACUAAGAAGCUCCGGCUAAAUACGUGCCAGCAGCCGCGGUAAUACGUAUGGAGCAAGCGUUAUCCGGAUUUACUGGGUGUAAAGGGUGCGUAGGUGGCAGUGCAAGUCAGAUGUGAAAGGCCGGGGCUCAACCCCGGAGCUGCAUUUGAAACUGCAUAGCUAGAGUACAGGAGAGGCAGGCGGAAUUCCUAGUGUAGCGGUGAAAUGCGUAGAUAUUAGGAGGAACACCAGUGGCGAAGGCGGCCUGCUGGACUGUUACUGACACUGAGGCACGAAAGCGUGGGGAGCA